CUAGCAGUAUCAAAGUGCUCAUAGUGCAGGUAGCUUGGCAUUGGACCUACUGUAAUGUGGGCACUUACAGUACUGUUAGAUAAAG
ensembl:miRNA MIR20B microRNA 20b